UACAGAGGGGGCAAGCGUUAUUCGGAAUUAUUGGGCGUAAAGGGCGCGUAGGCGGCGUCUCAAGUGGAUGGUGAAAUCCCCGGGCUUAACCUGGGAACUGCCGUCCAAACUGAGAGGCUUGAGUCCGGGAGAGGUAAGUGGAAUUCCCAGUGUAGCGGUGAAAUGCGUAGAUAUUGGGAGGAACACCAGUGGCGAAGGCGGCUUACUGGACCGGAACUGACGCUGAGGCGCGAAAGCGUGGGGAGCAAAC
rnacentral:rRNA from 1 species